rnacentral:lncRNA from 1 species
UACAAGAAAUGGGAGUUUUUGUCCAUCUUACAUUUAGAAAUACGAGUAAAGUGGUAUUACUCAUUAACCAAACAUAUUAAAGACCUAGGGUCUUUUGAUUUAAGGUCCUUGGUUUGUGACCUUGAAAUUGAGGUCAAGGUCAUAUGUUAAUACGACGUUCUAGAUUUUGACCUUUGCUUUAAAUUCAUAUAAAUACAUCAUAAAGCCAUAGGAACUAACAUUUUAAACUGAUUUUUCAUAUUUCAAUAUCAAAAUAGAUCUUUACUAGUGGAAAGACCUACAAUUGUUCUCUGAACAAUUAGUUUUUAAUUAUGGCACCCUCAACGGAGUUGGGGUGACAUAUUGUUAUUGUUCGUUUCUUUUUUUUUUUCUUAUUUUUUUUUCUUAUUUUUAUUCUUCCACACUUUUUGUCCAUGGCAGUUCUCGGAAUUGGAUGGACCAAACUUGAUGGAACUAUGCUAUAAUGUUGUCCACCAUGUGAAGUUGUGCACCUGACUUUGGAAUGUGCAAGAUGGCCGCGGUUACCAUGGAAACUAAAAAGGUGUAAAAGAAAAUCAAAAUU